rnacentral:rRNA from 1 species
GGUGAACGCUGGCGGCGUGCCUAAUACAUGCAAGUCGAGCGAACAGACGAGGAGCUUGCUCCCCUGACGUUAGCGGCGGACGGGUGGGUAAGACAUAGAUAACCUACCUCUAAGACUGGGAGAACUUCGGGGAAACGGAGCUACUACCGGAUAAUAUAUUCAACCGCAUGGUUCAAUAGUUAUAGACGGUUUUGCUGUCACUAAUAGAUGGAUCCGCGCCGCAUUAGCUAGUUGGUAAGGUAACGGCUUACCAAGGCAACGAUGCGUAGCCGACCUGAGAGGAUGAUCGGCCACACUGGAACUGAGACACGGUCCAGACUCCUACGGGAGGCAGCAGUGGGGAAUCUUGCGCAAUGGGCGAAAGCCUGACGGAGCAACGCCGCGUGAGUGAUGAAGGUCUUCGGAUCGUAAAACUCUGUUAUUAGGGAAGAACAAAAGUGUAAUUAACUAUGCACGUCUUGACGGUACCUAAACAGAAAGCCACGGCUAACUACGUG